CCAAACAGACGUUUGGUUGGGUGUAAUUCUAUUACACCCCUAUUCCCUUCCAUGUCUAUUACUGAUAUUGGCUGUAAUAGCCAUUCUGAGUUUAAAGCGGGGAAUAGAGAUUCCCCAUCAAUUCCCAAUUUUAUUUUCCUUUUUCUGCCCUCAUCCUCUCCCGACGUUUUUUAAUUUUUUCCCUUCCAGAUUUCUACUUCUUCUUCUGGUACGUCCUUCAGGAAAGCUAGUUUAGAUCGAGCACGCCUUGACAGCAGUAGGAUCGAGUCAAAGAUCUCUUGGAAUCAAAGCUGCUAAUGGGGUAGUAAUUGCUACUGAGAAGAAAUUGCCUUCAAUCUUAGUUGAUGAAACCUCAGUGAGUAUAUUAUUUAGUACCAUACACUCACACUUUCUAUCUGCAUUUGAAUUUCUAGAUUUUCCCAUGUUACAUCGACCUCGGUGUCAAUAUGAC